GAUGAACGCUGGCGGCGUGCCUAAUACAUGCAAGUCGAGCGAACAGACGAGGAGCUUGCUCCUCUGGCGUUAGCGGCGGACGGGUGAGUAACACGUGGAUAACCUACCUAUAAGACUGGGAUAACUUCGGGAAACCGGAGCUAAUACCGGAUAAUAUAUUGAACCGCAUGGUUCAAUAGUGAAAGACGGUUUUGCUGUCACUUAUAGAUGGAUCCGCGCCGCAUUAGCUAGUUGGUAAGGUAACGGCUUACCAAGGCAACGAUGCGUAGCCGACCUGAGAGGGUGAUCGGCCACACUGGAACUGAGACACGGUCCAGACUCCUACGGGAGGCAGCAGUAGGGAAUCUUCCGCAAUGGGCGAAAGCCUGACGGAGCAACGCCGCGUGAGUGAUGAAGGUCUUCGGAUCGUAAAGCUCUGUUAUUAGGGAAGAACAAAUGUGUAAGUAACUAUGCACGUCUUGACGGUACCUAAUCAGAAAGCCACGGCUAACUACGUG
rnacentral:rRNA from 1 species